rnacentral:rRNA from 1 species
UACGUAGGUGGCAAGCGUUGUCCGGAAUUAUUGGGCGUAAAGCGCGCGCAGGCGGUCCUUUUAAGUCUGAUGUGAAAGCCCACGGCUCAACCGUGGAGGGUCAUUGGAAACUGGGGGGACUUGAGUGCAGGAGAGAAGAGUGGAAUUCCACGUGUAGCGGUGAAAUGCGUAGAGAUGUGGAGGAACACCAGUGGCGAAGGCGACUCUUUGGCCUGUAACUGACGCUGAGGCGCGAAAGCGUGGGGGAGAAACGG